rnacentral:rRNA from 1 species
CUCCGGUUGAUCCUGCCGGACCCGACUGCUAUCAGAGUGGGACUAAGCCAUGCGAGUCAACAUAGCAAUAUGUGGCAUACGGCUCAGUAACACGUAGUCAACAUGCCCAGGGGACGUGGAUAACCUCGGGAAACUGAGGAUAAACCGCGAUAAGUCACUACUUCUGGAAUGGGUAAUGACUCAAAUCUACAUGGCCCCUGGAUUGGACUGCGGCCGAUCAGGCUGUUGGUGAGGUAAUGGCCCACCAAACCUGUAACCGGUACGGGCUCUGAGAGGAGGAGCCCGGAGAUGGGCACUGAGACAAGGGCCCAGGCCCUAUGGGGCGCAGCAGGCGCGAAACCUCUGCAAUAGGCGAAAGCCUGACAGGGUUACUCUGAGUGAUUUCCGUUAAGGAGAUCUUUUGGCACCUCUAAAAAUGGUGCAGAAUAAGGGGUGGGCAAGUCUGGUGUCAGCCGCCGCGGUAAUACCAGCACCCCGAGUGGUCGGGACGUUUAUUGGGCCUAAAGCAUCCGUAGCCGGUUCUACAAGUCUUCCGUUAAAUCCACCUGCUUAACAGAUGGGCUGCGGAAGAUACUAUAGAGCUAGGAGGCGGGAGAGGCAAGCGGUACUCGAUGGGUAGGGGUAAAAUCCGUUGAUCCAUUGAAGACCACCAGUGGCGAAGGCGGCUUGCCAGAACGCGCUCGACGGUGAGGGAUGAAAGCUGGGGGAGCAAACCGGAUUAGAUACCCGGGUAGUCCCAGCUGUAAACGAUGCAAACUCGGUGAUGCAUUGGCUUAUGGCCAAUGCAGUGCCGCAGGGAAGCCGUUAAGUUUGCCGCCUGGGAAGUACGGACGCAAGUCUGAAACUUAAAGGAUUGGCGGGGGAGCA